UUUCUGGGAGAGGGGGUGCACUCUGGGGUAAGGAGAGAGAAGCCAGGCGGACAUGGAGAAGAAACAUGGGGCCUUCUCCAUCUCACAACCUGGGAUAUAAAACAAGUGGCACAUCUUCUAGAGCAGGCAGUACAAAGUUCUGGUUCCCAGGUGCCUCUCCCCUCCCGCACAAUGCGCUCCUCUCCCAGCAACCUGCUUGCUGCCAUUGCAUAACAGCAUUUCGGGGCCUACAAAUCACAGCGCUGUCCAAGUUCUCCAGCAGGCGCCCUUUACACCACCCAGCCUCACAGCACUCAGCGUUUUGUAACCUCUCUCUUUUCCAGGUUAUCAUCAUCUGUCAAAUCUGAAGUUAAACAACAAGAAACAUGUCAGGUGAGUGGCUGGGAGAGACACUUGACUGUUUAUGAGAAAUAUUCCAUUACAAUCUGAUGCAAAAUGUUAGGAUGCAUCUGCCAGCGCCCAGGCUAAGAAAGUUCCCCUUCUCCACAGGCAAACUGAUCAGUGUGUGGUUCCAGCCCAUGUUUAUCCUCUCUGGAUCUGAGGCAAAUGCCCUUGGAAAAACCUGGCUCAGUGAAUGCCUGGGAGCCUCGUACAUUCAGAUUCAUUCAAUUAGGAUAUCCAGUUUGAGACAUGAUGGGUUUUGGCGAGCUCGUAGACUGAUUGGUUUUUAUACACAUGCACAGAAAGAUUUGAUUUCCUCUGCGGAAUUUAUGGCAGGGGAGAAGAGAGCAACAUUCUGCCACAGGAGGGCAGAAAGAGGCUGGAACUGGGGAGGAUACGCUAAGAAGACCGACAGACAGUGGGGAGGUCAAGACUCAGUUUCCCAAACUCAAUCUCUGAAUCCCUGCCGGCUGAAGGAAAGGGUUGAGGAGCCAAGGAUAUUCACCACUCAGUGUAGCCAGCAGCUGAUCUGUCCCCCGACCCAGUGCCCAAAUUCUCAGGCUCCUGCGGACUUCUUGGUCAGACAAGCCCAGACUGCCCAGAAUUAAUAAAAUACCUCUGCCUCCAGGCAGAAAGUCUGUAUACUGUUCCAGUUCUGCCAGCAGCGCGCGGGCCAGUGUGGGGAACCCGGGACCCAUUAGAGCAAGGCCAUCUUCAUCCGGAGGACUGAGGUCCAAGGAAGGAGGUGCUAUCCUUCUACCUGCAACCCCAACUUAAGGGAGGAUGGUGGAAGAGGGGCCCUCUUUUCCCCUCACCAUUUCUGACCCAUUCUACCUCACACCAGUUCUUCAUCUUCCAGAAUGGAUUAGGUUGAUCCGACUGGUUUUCUCUACCGAAAUUUUUUGCAUUUCUUUGAACCAAAUGCUGCUGCGCUUAUAGGUCACUCCUGGCAGGUAGUGGCUGAAGGCUCCAGCAAGCGACGGGCUUGGGAGGCAGGCGGCGGCGGGCCGAGAGGCAGGGACAGGACGAGCUGCCCCAGGACCUCGGGUUCCCUCACUACUUGAUGCUAUUCUUGAGCAGAGCUGCGAACCUCCGACGCGCUCCUUUGCCUACUCCAGGGAAAGGAUCACAAAAGUUUUGGAUGGAUCUCCAAACCCCUCUCUGAGAUAGCAGCGCUUAGAUGGACAAGCCUCCAGCUGAGAGGUUGCCCCAUUCCCCGCUGCCAGAGAAGCAUACAAUCCUUAGUAAAAAAGACGGAGAGAUUCGGCUCAGGCCUGUAUUUCCGGGAGAAAGCAGAAGGCCCCAUGCGUCCAGCUCUGCCUAAGCUACAGGACUCCCCAGCUUAUAGGGCCAGCAGACUCUGUUACUGGGGACGCGUUCCCAGCUCCAGCUUUUCCCCAGUCCUCAGCUGGACAGGCGGGCAGCAGGAUCCAGGAGAGCGGUGGGGUGAUUUGAUUCCGUCCUCCUUCGGAGUUCAGAUUGGACUGAGAAAGGAAAAAGGUUCCCUGACUUGGAAAGCAACGGCCAGGCGGUGAAACUGACAUUCAGGACCCUGACCAGUAAACCUCUUGGCGUAAAACAGCCCAGCACACAAUUGAUCAAUCGGUUAGGGGCCGGCUAUACUCCACGCGCGGAGCAACCCAGCACCACGAAACUAACCAGCGUGCGCUAAACGAAAAAACCCGAUAUGCUUAAAACAGAUUGGUGCCGAACACAACACGUUAACUGACCACCUGAAACUGAUCGCUGCGGGACUGACCAGAGGUGACGCUGCCCGGCAAGCAGCCGGACCGGGUGAAAGGAACCGGAAUGAAAUCCACCUGCCUGCUGCACGCAACUAACCCCUGCAAGGAAGCGGAGCAGGGAGGGCCGCUGAGGACCUGAGUGCGCCAGGAGGAGGCCUGUCUCCCGGUGCUGCGGACCCUGCCCGGAGCUGCUGGGGGAACG